UGAUUCUUUCUUGGCUUUGUUUGUCCAUUUUGUCCAAUUCUUUGUUCAGAAUGCCAAGAACCUGGACACUCUCCGACGGUAACAUGGAGACACUGAGAGAAGGUGGCCAUCUGUCUCAGCUGACAUAUCAUUUCCUCAGAAGUGCCUUCCUGACCACCCCGUGGAAGAGAAGUGUCUCCCUCUCCCUGAUAUUCUCUAUCCCUGGCCAUGGUUUGUUUCUUUACAGAUUUUUAUCAUGUUUUGUGAUAAUUUUGUUUGUUUACUUUUGUCAAGUCUUUUGUUUGUCUUUCCAAUAGUAGACCUUAAACUCCCAUGUAGGCAGAAACAUGCCUGUCUUACUCAUUGUUAUAUCCCAGUGGCCUAGCACAUUCUAGACCUUCAAUAAAUAAUUUC
rnacentral:lncRNA from 10 species